rnacentral:lncRNA from 1 species
GACCCAAACCCCUGCUCCAGUCCCCCCUCCCCGGGGAGAGCCAGGCCCCCCCCCCCACCCCCCGCCCCUCCCCCAGCUCCAGACACCUGGCUCCAGCCUGGAGGGGGGCGGCGUUCUGGGGGGAAAGCUCCCCCCCAGCUGGUCAGCCUCUCUGAAUUCCUGCAAGGAUGGCAGGGACUCAGCGGAGCCGGGUGCCAAUUUGCUUCAAAUACAAGCCCUGGGCAUGGGUGGUGGGGAGAGGGAAGAGUUAGGCUAGGCGACCUCCGAGAUGGACACCCACUGCCCAGUGGGCUGCACCCCGCCAGACCCGGCCUUGCUGCUCCAAGCCAGCCAGGCGAGCCAGGGCCCCUCCCCCACCCCAGGGAAGAGAGGAGCAGAGGGAGGCUUUUAAAAUUCCUCUCUGGAGAGAUAAACAUAGAAGCCAUUUCGAAACAGAAACCAUCUCAACAGAACUCUUUCCUCCUGACCAACAACCAACAUCCCUGUAGGUCGUCCGAUGUACCUGGGUACGGUUGCAGGAGGCAAGGCAGCAGGUAAUGUCAGACCCCCAGAGCCCCA